GACGAACGCUGGCGGCGUGCUUAACACAUGCAAGUCGAACGAAGAGCGGUGGAAGCUUGCUUCUAUCAAUCUUAGUGGCGAACGGGUGAGUAACGCGUAAUCAACCUGCCCUUCAGAGGGGGACAACAGUUGGAAACGACUGCUAAUGCCGCAUACGAUCUGACCUCGGCAUCGAGGAUAGAUGAAAGGUGGCCUCUAUUUAUAAGCUAUCACUGAAGGAGGGGAUUGCGUCUGAUUAGCUAGUUGGAGGGGUAACGGCCCACCAAGGCGAUGAUCAGUAGCCGGUCUGAGAGGAUGAACGGCCACAUUGGGACUGAGACACGGCCCAGACUCCUACGGGAGGCAGCAGUGGGGAAUCUUCCGCAAUGGACGAAAGUCUGACGGAGCAACGCCGCGUGAGUGAUGACGGCCUUCGGGUUGUAAAGCUCUGUUAAUCGGGACGAAAGGCCUUCUUGCGAAUAGUUAGAAGGAUUGACGGUACCGGAAUAGAAAGCCACGGCUAACUACGU
rnacentral:rRNA from 1 species